UAGUCUUGGUAAUAAAUCUCUAGCAAUCAGCCCAUUUUUCGCUUUCCAUAGCGUAGGCCCUUAUAGCAUUGCCAGAUUUGUUUGGUAGACUGAGUUACGUCAACUCCGAUUCUACGACGUGAACCUUGCCAAGUUCCCGUCUCAUAUGGUAGCAGAUUGCGUGUUCUCCCGGAUUAUCUGAAGUGUUUCCCCGUCUAACUGACGGAGUGUGUGAAGUGUGCGAGGAAGGGCUCGCUGACGAAGCAGUCGGAGAAGGAAGGACGUUGGAUCUCGACAGCAGAUCAGACAACGGUGCAUCUCUACUGCGUAGAGUGCACUGUAUCUGUCCUGACGCGAGCAGGGUUACGGCAGUAGCUCUGUUCGGAGGGGCACCAGCGUCGAAAGCACAAGCGCGAAAAAGAACGCCAGAAGAGGCAGGAGCCCGAAGGGGGGCACGAGUGGGCAAGCCACUUUUGGUCUAUCGGGUGUGGAGUUCAGGCGCGACUCUACUGCUUAGAGCGUACACACAAUACGCGUUCCCCCAAAAGGGUGGUCGAGCGCCCCUGCCGUUUGCCAACGUCAAGGCACGGCAGAAGACCCGCAGCCAGCAAGUCUUCUGGUCGACGCACCGCUGCGUCCCGUCGAUCCGAGACGGAAGGGGUUAGCGACUGGCCCAGGAGAAGGCAGUAUAAUCGCAGAAGGCAGUAUAGGGGUUAGCGACUGGCCCAGGAGAAGGCAGUAUAAUCGCUGGAAGAUUUGGAGGAUUCGCGGAAGGACGCGCAGGAUCGAUUUCUGGAUUCGGAAGACGAGCAGAGAAUGCUACGCACUUCUGCCACUUCUGCAGUAACGGCACACUCCUGUCGAUUAAUCCCGAUUGGACCAACGUGUGCUACACGGCCAUUCUCAACCUUAUAGAGCGAGUGCGCCGAUACACAACCAGCGUUGUAGACCUGCAAUUGUUCGAGAAGUGGAGAGCCGGAUGGGUCUUCGAUCGAGCCAUUCUAUGCUCCCUCAACAGCAUGAAUCUGCAAAUGGGGCACAACAUGCUGAAAGGAUCGUGUUCUGUCUUUACACGAUGGUACAUUCAUGAAUUCCAUAAAAUGGUUGGCGCAGGCAGGGCCCCUAUGGGGGCGGCAAUAAGCGCAUGCAAUCAAAUUCAGCCGAAGAUCUGGAGGGUCGUCCUAGACCAAACCAAGAUGCAUGGUGUGCGUAAACUGGUUCUGCGUGGCGUGGGAUGUAGCCAUUUUUAAGCGUUCAUGUUUUAUUCAAGUAGUAUAUGGGUCUUAAAGGUGAACAGUAACAGUAACAUGUUACUGUUUCAAUUGUUAACUAUUUGUUUGAUGUGUAUCAAUAUUGCAUGUUUGAGCGAAUAUGUUAAUAAGUAUGAAUAAAAUAAUCAGCGGGAGAACACACACAUACACACA